CGUUGUUCGGAAUCACUGGGCGUAAAGGGCGUGUAGGCGGCUGGAUAAGUGGGAUGUUAAAUCCCCCGGCUCAACCGGGGACCUGCAUCUCAUACUGUUCAGCUCGAGCACAUCAGAGGAGACUGGAAUUCCCGGUGUAGUGGUGAAAUGCGUAGAUAUCCGGAGGAACACCAGUGGCGAAGGCGACUUCCUGGACCAGUACCGACGUUCAGGCACGAAAGCGUGGGGAGCAAACAGG
rnacentral:rRNA from 1 species